AGUAGUCCGGGGGCUGGCUCCCGGAGGCUGGAGAGGACCAGGCCGCUUCGGUCACGUGACUCCCUUCUCCGGGCCUCUGCCGGGUCGCCGUUUCUUAGGCUCCCGGCUUGAAAAGCUGAGCUUUCUCUCCGACGUCCUAGUCCUGCGUCGUCACAGCAACCCUCUGAGAGAGGAAGCACAAGGAAUGAUAAACUCUUUUUCUACAAAAGAGGAACAGAGGCCUGAGCCUUGGACAGGAAUCAAAGUCCGCGCUCAUCUAGAGAUCGGAAGUCUAAAUAAGGGUUCACGGCUCUUCUCGCCUGCGCGGGCCUCAGCCUGGCGCGUCCACAUCUCAGCUUAACGGCCGUGCCUCCGCCAUCAAUCUAAGUUGUGACGCUGCCCCAGUGCGGGAGCUGCGUAUCCCCUCGUCUCGGGCAGGCAAACAAGCCCAAAGAAGAGUUGGCUCUGUCAGGGAGGGCAUGGCGCCCUGAAAAGAAAAGAAUUAGUCCGUCAGAUUCGGAACCCUUGCGUUAUUUCUUCGUUGGGCACUGAAGAACGAAGUAAUAUGAGCAAUGAAAACUUUCAUCAGGAAAUAAUUGGGACUCCCAGAUUUGUAUCUCCAUCCCAGAACUCUCUCGUGAACUACAGACUUUUACAUCCAGCAGCCUGCUAGACUUCCGUACUUGGCAGUUCCACAAACACUUCUCAUUCAGCUUUCAAAAAUUGAACUUGUAAACUGUGGACUUUGGGUGAUAAUGAUGUGUCUCAAGGUAAGUUCAUUGAUUGAUUGCAACAAAUGUACAGCUCUGGUGGGGAAUGUUAAUAAUGAGGGAGGCUGUGCAUGACUGGGGGCAGGAAUAUAUGGGAGAUCUGUGUAUCAUCCCCUCAAUUUUGCUGUGAACUUAAAACUGCUCUGAGAAAUAGUCUUAAUAAAAAUCUGAAUUUGCCAUCUUCUCACUCAAUUCUACUAUUUCUUCAGUGUCCAUUCUAUGGAAAAAUACCACCUCUGUUUAGUUGCUCAAGUUAGAAACCUGGAAUUUAUUAUUUCUUUCUUCUCCCUCACUCUUCAUAUUCAGUAAUAAUAAUAAUUAAAGACAGCAACUAACAUUUAUGGAGGGCUUACUAUAUACUACGUACUCACUGUUCUAAGCAUUUUAUGUGUAUCAAUCUUCAUAGCAAUCCUAGGAAAUAAAUGCUGUCAUGAUUCCUGUUUUACAGAUUUAAAAAAAAAAAAAAAAAAAAAAAGGACGAAGUAACUUGUCCAAGGUCCAUACCUACUCAGUGGCAGAGCUUGAUGUAGAAUCUAUGUUGUUGGGCAGCAAAGCAUACACCCUUUAACCACUAUAUUCUACUGCCUCCGGUCAACCAAGUCCCGUCACUUCUUAACUACCAUCUCAUGAAUCUGACCCCUCACCCCUCCACUGUUGUCCACUCAGGUCCUCUGUCUAUUAAACCACUCUAAGAGCCUCCAAACCGGUCUUGGUUCACUGAACUCAGAGACCUCAUUGUCUUUGGGGAAGAGGUACAAGAAAUUAUAAUCUUUGUUAAAUGCUGUAUUGAAGGCCGCACCAAGUGCCCAGGGAUUGCUCUGCAUGAGAACCUAGAGAACUAGGAGAACGUGACAUUUGAGCUGGGACUCGAGGAUAAGGAGUUUAAAGAUAAAAAGUACAAGUGGAGGUAAUUCCAUUUUGUUGCACAGAGAUAGGAAGGACCAUGCAGUCUUUAAGGAAUUGCAAGAAUUUGUGGCGUAUGGCGGCAUGAUGGGGCUGGAAAGUAUGCCAAGAUGGUCUGUAUAUAGCAAGCCCUUGGUGAAUGACUUGCCACAAAUUAUCGCUGAAAUCUGUAGCAUUUUGCUAAAACAAUGGUGCAGUGAUAAAUAAGCCUGGCUGACUGCCCUGCCCUUGAACUCAACUUAGCAGCUUUUCUGCCUCUUACCAUGACAUUUGGUACAUGAGGUACAUUUCCACUGUCAUGAAACCAUAAUUCACAAGGGGCACCUUGGUGGUUCAGUUGGUUAAGUGUCUGACUCUUGAUUUUGGCUCACGUCGUCAUCCCAUGUUGGCCUCCAUGCUGAAUGUGGAACCUGCUUAAGAUUCUCUCUCUCCAUCUUCCUCCACUCCUCCCCACCAACUACCCUCCCACUGCAUGCAAGUGCUCACUCUUUCUCAAGAAAAAAAAAAAAAAAAAAAAAAAAAACUAGACUGUGUUGUUUCUUUUUUUUGUGGGGAGGGGAUGGUUGGAGGAGUGGGUACCAUAUAUGCUAUGGUGAUGUUCCUAAAUUUAAGGAUUUGAGGUCUCUGUUAACAUAAUGUGGACAGUGUCACGUAUGAGCAAAAGUUAACUUUUAUAAGGUAAUGUGUGAUGCAUAUGAAUAAACAAGUGAAAUAAAAUCAAUGAAAAAGCAUGAAUCAGGAGGAAAGAAUACAGAAAAAAUAAAAAUCAUGAAGUGAGAAAAUAAAUUAGAAUUGUGAUUUUAUAUUCUGCGCUAGUCUAAGUCUUUACAUUUGAUGUGACACCUAUCAUUGGGUUUUAACUUUAAAAGGAAUUGCACCUAACCUGUUGAUUUUUCAGGCAUAUGGAUUUGAGAGGUUAAUACAGUUAAUGAUGUUUCAGAGCUCUUACUGCUUGCAUACCAGGUGCCAGGCAGCAUAGUCCCCCACUGUGUACAAGGUUUUCAGGAGAAGGUUAACAUUAAGGUUGUGAGGGUCAUUUCAGGUUCCUCCGUCCUUGAAUUGCAGAGCAAGGAUUAUCAGGGAGGAUGGUGAAUCUUGAAAUAGGCCCAGGAGGUGAGUUCAGACAGCAAUACCCUUAUUUUAACAUACUACUGAGGUCCCUCUUAAAUGUAUAACUAGUAGAAAUCACAGAGGGCAGAACAUCACCACAUCAGCAGACAUUCUUUCAGAGUCUGAAUGAGCAAGUGACCUAAACUGAAGAAAGGAGCUUGUGUAACAACGUACAGCAGCAGAGAUCUUGUGGCCAGAAGUAGAAAUUUAGGAAAUAAGAAAUUUCAAAGCCUAACCUAUUAGGGUCUAGGGCCAGGAAAAUACUGACUCUUCUCCUACUGCCUCCUCAGCUGCCACUGCCUUUCUCUGUUGAAAACCUCCCAAGUACCCUCAGGGCUGCUGCUGACCCAGGAGCAAAGAAUAUGCUCUUCGCUCUCAAAGCUUCCUGCCGCCUGGAUCAUCUGGCUUUUACAGAUAAUGGAGUGUGUUGUUUGGUUAUAUAAACUGUCAAUUUUAUUAUGAAGGAUCAUUGUUCAGAAAGAUCUAGUUUUUUAAAUCUCCAAAUAAAAAGUACUAAAGGGAAAUGCA